UGAGUCCCACAUCAGGCCUCAUCUUUUUGAAACCAUGCGGAACAACGGAGAUCCAUAGUAGCUCUAAGGUGCAAACAGAUUGAUGGCUACAUCUCUCAUUCCGGAUGCCACCAAGCCAUUCCAGCCACCUGCCAUAGUGUUGUCUCCAGACAAGGGCAGACGACCAGAGACGCUCUGAAGCCCUACGGCUACUUGGAGAGAAGAAUAAUGUCCCUGGCAAAGCGCUGUGAAACCAAGGAAGUGAAAUAACAAAGAGCCCGAAGAGAGCGCAGCCCCAGCUGGUAGGCCCUGGAGAGAGGCUGGAGUCCUCAGACCGACAGAAGGAAGACAUCUGAGGGGCGACCAGGAGGUGUCUGUGGCUGCGGAACACAGGCAGGGGCGACUGAUUUGAAGACACUGGCAACAUGGAGACUGCUUCAAAAAAACUCAUGAGAAGUUCAGUUUUCCAGAUAUUUUUAAGUACCUACUGUGAGCCAAGCAUUCCGUUAAGACUUAAGGAUGUGUCGGUGCAAUAAGAUAACCAUGACCCAUCUGUGGAGAGCUCAGAGCCCUGCAGGAAGACACCUGAUUAGUGAGAACACUAAGUGUUAAAUGUCCAGAAAAAAAGAUGAGACAACUUGUGAAGUUAUGCAUGCUGCUGUCGCAUAAGGACUUACUGGAAUCAGCCAGAGCAAGAUGUGAUAGCAGCAGAGGUCUUUAGGACAAUGAGCAACAGAAUUACUCCAGUUUCAUGUACAGAAGACAGCAACCUUGAGACCCUCCAAAAUCCAUAGAUCCCAAGUAGGAACUGCUCAACAGUGUUAAAAUAUGGUGAUUAUUAUCGUUUUUGUGGAUAUUCAUAUACACAUAUACCAGCCAUCCAUAUUUGCCUAGAACUGAGAUAUCUUCUGUAUAUGUGACUUGGAGUCUGAAAUCCAGGAGCUCCAUAACAAAUCAGGAUGGAGGAGGAUUGGAUACUCCUGAGUGAAGGAUGCUACCCAGACUGUGUGAUACAGAGUGAACAGGAACGAUGCUGGGAAAUUGGGUAUCCACUUGGAAACAAAUGAAAGCAGACCUCUGUCCAUCACCAGUCACAGAAAUCAACUGGAAUUGGAUUAAAAUAACCGAAACACUGGAAGCUCCCCAAACACGUCCUGUUGCUGCUGCUCCUCUGGAAGCAUCGUUCUCCAGCUCUGCAGUUUCAUCCUGAGCCCAUCACCCACUUCUGUUCAAAGUGUCUUCCCUCGGGUUCCUCUUCAGGGCGAUCUUCAAUACGGCGGGCAGAGGACAGGCUGUAUUUGCUCUUCCUUCCUCUCGUCACCAGGGUCUCCGAUCCCUGUUGUCUAAGUGAAUAAAUAGGGACUCACAGUUUGCCAGUCUCAGAACAGACUUUCAACUUUGGACUCUUGAAGAGUGUUGGAACUGUUAAGACUAUGGGGAUUUUUGAAGUCUGGUUAAAUGCAGAUACCAACAGAAGCCCGAGGAUACUUUCUUGUUCAUUUGGAGCACCGCCCCUCACCCCAGCCACCUUCCAACAAGCUGCUGCCUGCUCACCUCCAUUGCAGAAGGCGUGACUUUCUCUCUCCUCCUUGAGCUCCCUAUUCUGGGCAGUUCUGAAGGAGAUUUACAGACUGUCAACUUUAUUUGUCUCCUAAAUUCUAAUAAUAUUGUCCUUGAGUUUUCCAGGUCAGUUUCUAAAUUCCCUUGUUAACAAGGCUGUGAACACAUGAAAGGGAACUCUGACUUUCCUCACAACCUAUGGUAACUACAAAGAACUACUAAAGAAAUUCCUCAGAGGCUACGGGAAGGACCAUAUCCAGGGCCUUAGACCUAUCAGCCACAGAAGAUGAAAAUGAGGUCCAGAUAGAAGUUUGGUGUCCCUGGUUACCACGGGUGGUAUGACAUAUGGAAUCCGUUCUUUUGGAUUGGGGCCAUGAACUUUCUUACUGCUUUCUGUCUCCUUGUUUGGUUAUUUUGUGCCUGCAUACCUCUGACCACUUUGCCUGGCCACACAUGUAACAUCUCCUAAAUCAGCUGCCCAUUUUCUUACAAAGGAAUGACUGUAUUCAUUUUAUCUAUGAGGUGCAUGGAUCCCAUGGGGACUUAUGCCCUGAUGGUAGCUAGGACCAUGUUACCUAGUAGUUGCCAUUUCCUGCGACAGAAAAAUAUGUAACUAGCCAAAAUGACAAGAAGCACAUGACUAGCCAAAAUGGGAACCCUGGUACCACUAACCAAGAUGUGGCUGAUGACACCACUAGCCAAGAUAGAAGCCAUGAUGUAACUAGCCAAAAUGGUUAUGCUCACUCUGGUGAUCUGAGUGAGAUAUGUCCUCCAUAGGUUCAUGUCUUUCAACAUUUGGUCUUCAGGUAGUGGCACUGAUUGGGAAGGUUAUGGAAUUUUUAGGAGGUGGAGCCUUGCUUGAGGAAGUAUGUGAACAGGGGCAGGACUCUUGGUUUUCUAGCCUGGCCCCAUUUCCUUUCUUUCUGUCUGCUUCUUGUAAGAUAGAAUGUGAUCUCCCUGCUUCCUGGCUUUCAGAAUAUUCCCCUGAUCCUGCUGCCAUGUCUUUGCUGCCAUGGUGGGUUUCAUCUCUUUGGAACUGUAAACCAAAAUAAAUUCCUUUCUCCUCUAAGCUGCUUCUUAUUAGGAUAUUUUAACACAUUAAAACAAAAGGAACUAGUAUACUCACACGACUGCCUAAGUUUCCUGAUGCUGCUGAAUUCCCAGAUUCUCACUAUAGCCCUAGAUCUUACUGUGACAUUAGCCUUCAUUCAUACAUCCCAGUCAUUUCCUGAUUUUUCCUUUAUUUCUCUUUGCAUUCUGAGACACCUACCAGGAUCACAGAAACAGGAAAGCUAGACUGAGUAAUGUCCUGUUUCUCUGCCUAAAGGGUAAACUCUUUCUGAAAAAUAAAGGAUUCAUAUCAAGCUAAAACAAUGGUUCUUUCUUUUCUCAGGAUUACUGUAUUCAACUACUUUCAGUUCUUUGCUCUGCAUUUUCCUGUAGACAAUUAUGUCUCAUUAGACACAGAGAUGAUUCAUGGUAUAAGACAUUCUCUUAAGUGUUAGACCUUAAGAAAACGAUACAUCUCUUGAUAGGUUUCCCAAGAUUCAGUGAUUGGUUGGUCCUAUGCCCAUUCAUAAACGGCCAACACUGACUGGCCUUGGUGUUUUUUUUUUUUUUUUUUAAGAAGUGUAUAUGAUUUUGAAAGAGAAAAGGAAUGGGGCAGUAUAGGAGGGAUUGGAAGGGAAGGUGUGGGGGUAGAUUUGAAAUCAUAUUAUACGCGUGUAUGAAAUUCUCAAACAAUACAAUUUCAAAAAAUCAGUUGCUGUAAGUCUGAACUUGAGAAUCUAAAGAAAAAGAGGCUAAUAUUUUAUUUGAAUAUUAGUUGGCUUUACUACAAGCUAGGAGAGGAAAAAUUUUGGUUAAAACAAAAAUUUUAAACUCUAAUACUAUUCCACAUGGGAACCUAUUUUAUAAACAUCAAGAGAAAUGACCUAAAGUGCCUAUGUACAGUCCUUCAUGGCUGUCUACUGGGAUAGAUGAGUAUAAAAAAAGUACAGAGGACUCUAAACACUAUAGGACACACCAGGAAUCACAAUUCCUUGUGCCCCUUGUCUACAGCGCUCUCCCAAAGAAAAAUGCCUCAACCCUCAGAAACAAUUAGUGUCCAUGUUCUUUUUCAACCAUAGAUCCUAAUAGAUAGAUGAUAGAUGAUAGAUAGAUAGAUAGAUAGAUAGAUAGAUAGAUAGAUAGAUAGAUAGAUAGAUAGAUGGAAAUCUUCUCCACCACCAGUCACAUCUCUGUGUGUUUCCUAUUUUGAUCCUCUCAAAUCUUAUCUGGGCUUCCAAAAACCGGGGUUUGAGGCCCCCAUUCCAUGGCAGGUUCCUGUCUUCUCUGUACUCCCUUCCCAAAUGGGUGAAACUUCUCUUCAGAUUAAGUCUACUGCUCUUUUUUUCUUUCUCUUUUUCCUUCAAAAGACUUUUCCUAAAUCUUCCUAACUCAGAUAGCUAUGUUAGCUCAGGAAGUUUCAGUAAGGGAUGAAGAAAGCUUAGGCCCCACAGACUUGACUGCUGAACACUGUCUUCUUCUUGUUAAACGACAGAGACCGGAAGAACCCACUCCUGACAUAACCACCUUGUGGUGCUGAAGCUACUCAAGGCAGACUGAUAAACAAAUUUCAGCUCUGCAGAUCCCCCAAAAACUAAUGUCAUUCCCUCUGAUGAUAAUUGGAGAUGGAAUUAUUUCCUCAUGGAUAUAACCGCAUUGUGUGUGGAACAGAACUUAUAGAAUAUAUGUAUGUAUGUAUGUAUUUGUGCGUAUAUACAAAGAGUAUUUGUUCGAAUGGCUUACAGGCUGUGAUCUUGCUAGUCCAAUAUGGCUGUCUACUGAUAGAAAGUCCAAGAAUCUAGUAGUUGUUCAGCCCACGAGGUGGGACGUCUCAGCUGGUCUUCAGUAUAUUCUGGAAUCCUGAAGAAGUGGGCUCUAGUGUCAGUGAAGGAAUGAGCUUCCAAGCAAUACUGAGGGUAAGCAGGUAAAGAGAGCAAGCUUCCUUCUCCCGUGUCAGUUAUAUAACCUGCCAGCUGUGAGUGUGGCCCAGAUUUAAAGUGAAUCCUUCCACCUCAAAAUAUUUGAUCAAACUGGUGUCUUCCCACCUCAAAAGACCUGGGGUAAAAGUGAGUCUUCCUACUUCAAAAGAAUUAAUUAAGGAAAAAACCCUCACAGCAUACCCAGCUGCUUGGGUUUUAGUUCGUUCCAGACAUAGUCAAGUGAACAACAAAAAUAUCCAUCACAAUGUGUAUUUUCAUGUAAUUGCUUGUAUGUCGUUCUAUGUUGGGAUAGCAUGGAAUGAAAUUCAACGGCCCCUAGAAUUUCCCAAAAUAACUGAGAAACAAACCUGAGUCCACUUUGAUUAUUUUCUUUCAUUCAUUUAUUCUGUGCUUCAACAUUUAAAAAAAAUUAAUAUUUUGAUUGCCUACUUUAAAUGUGUGUGAGAGAAUAUGCAAAUAGAAAUGCUUUGGUAAUACAUUUAAAAGCCUUCUAAGUAUAUACUUAGAAACAGAUCCAUUUACCUUCUUACGACAUAUCAAAAUGGGAUUUGUGGAUCUAUUAAGUGUUUCAUAAAAAUCGUAAAUGCUAUUUGUUUAUAUAAAACAAAAUUCACUGGAAUAAUAAGAUAAAAAUCUUAUUAGAUUACAAGAUUUGACAUUGGACACAGAUAUUUAAUGAUGAUUUCUUUCCCAAACAUAUUCUUAAAAUUAUUACUUUUUAAUUUAAUUUUUAAUUAGUUCAUGUGUAGCAUUCAUGAGUAACAAAAAUAAUAGGACAUAAAGGUGUUUGAUGUUAGUUGGCAUGUCUCUGUGUAAUAUAUAGUAAGUCCUUGUUGGACUAAUUGCUAUGUCUUAUUUCUUUUGCAAGAAUAUUCUUAGUAUGCAAAUGUUAAGUACAAGGUCUUUAUAAAUAGCUAUAUUACAUGUAAGAUGAGAGAUAUAUGUAUUUGUCAAAUAUCUCUGUUAAGUUUCCAGUUCAUGUUGAGAGUUACAGUCUAUGCAAUACCAAUAAACAGUAAAAUUAAAAA